UACGGGGGGGGCAAGCGUUGUUCGGAAUUACUGGGCGUAAAGGGCUCGUAGGCGGCCAACUAAGUCAGACGUGAAAUCCCUCAGCUUAACUGGGGAACUGCGUCUGAUACUGGAUGGCUUGGAUUCGGGAGAGGAAUGCGGAAUUCCAGGUGUAGCGGUGAAAUGCGUAGAUAUCUGGAGGAACACCGGUGGCGAAGGCGGGUUGCUGGGCUGACACUGACGCUGAUGCGCGAAAGCCAGGGGAGCGAACGGG
rnacentral:rRNA from 1 species